rnacentral:rRNA from 1 species
GACGAACGCUGGCGGCGUGCCUAAUACAUGCAAGUUGAGCGAUGAAGAUUGGUGCUUGCCCCAAUUUGAAGAGCAGCGAACGGGUGAGUAACGCGUGGGGAAUCUGCCUUUGAGCGGGGGACAACAUUUGGAAACGAAUGCUAAUACCGCAUAAUAACUUUAAACAUAAGUUUUAAGUUUGAAAGAUGCAAUUGCAUCACUCAAAGAUGAUCCCGCGUUGUAUUAGCUAGUUGGUGAGGUAAAGGCUCACCAAGGCGAUGAUACAUAGCCGACCUGAGAGGGUGAUCGGCCACAUUGGGACUGAGACACGGCCCAAACUCCUACGGGAGGCAGCAGUAGGGGAUCUUCGGCAAUGGACGAAAGUCUGACCGAGCAACGCCGCGUGAGUGAAGAAGGUUUUCGGAUCGUAAAACUCUGUUGGUAGAGAAGAACGUUGGUGAGAGUGGAAAGCUCAUCAAGUGACGGUAACUACCCAGAAAGGGACGGCUAACUACGUG